GGCCAGCAAAGGCUUCCCUGCCUGGGCCGCUGAGGCCUGGCCAAGCUGGCCAGCAGGGCUACCCUCUGACCUAGGGGAACCCAAGGCUCUACUGGUGCCUGGUGAUUCGGAGGACAGGCCUGAGCUGAAGGCCUGGCUCGAACCCCGAGGCCUGCCUGAACCCUGGGACCUGGCAAACCAGCUGGACGCAGCCAUCCGAGCUAAUUCCCAAGUCUGAUGGCUGAUGGCUCUGUGGGCUGAGUGAACCCCAUUGGAAUGCCUAAAUGAAUAAUAUGAGCUUUUUACUUUGAACCUUUUCCUAACAAAUGACCUGAAGUACAAAAUCCUGAGGAGAGAGCCAGUCUGAGUGCACUGAGAAGGUAUGAAAACAGCAGAUGACUAUUACAGCCUACACACCCUGGAGAGAAAUUACGAUGACCUGAAUUCCCAAAGACCCUUUCCACAGUUCUGCUCUGUUCAUUGUAACCCCUCUCUAACAUAGUUUCAGUAUCUUCCCUGAAGCCAGAGGAUGGAUUGAGCUGUCAUUCAGUGGUAUCAUUGCACCAGGACUUCUCUGAUGGCCACUUCAACUUCUGCAGAAUUUAAGUUUUCAUUGAAAGGAAAUUCAAUACCUAGCCAACUUAUUUAUGAGGUGAGGAAAAACAUCCAAAAAAACAAGUGACUCAUUAAGUGUCUGGUGUGAGCUGGCAUUGACCCUGAAGUCUAAAGAGUGAUAACUAUGUCCCCAAUUAUAAUUUUAGCAGAGCCACCCAGCUCUUUGGAAAUAGAGAACUUGAACAGUUUGGUGUCAGUCUGUCCAUUUUUCUUCUUGCCAAAAAUAAAAGUUCAGUCUCUGUCCUAAAGCCUGCCCCUACCAUUUUUGU